CAAGGAUUCUCGUAGUAACUGCGAGUGAAGCGGGAAGAGCUCAAAUUGGAAAUCUGGCGGCUCUUGACCGUNCCAGUUGUAAUAUAGAGAAGUGCUACCUGUGCUGGNCCGCGUACAAGUCUCCUGGAAUGGAGCAUCACAGAGGGUGAGAAUNCUGUCUCUGACACGGUCCUCCUGUACGCUAUGGUGCGCUCUCGAAGAGUCGAGUUGUUUGGGAAUGCAGCUCAAAAUGGGUGGUAAAUGCCAUCUAAAGCUAAAUAUUGGCGAGAGACCGAUAGCGAACNAGUNCCGUGAGGGAAAGAUGAAAAGAACUUUGGAAAGAGAGUUAAACAGUACGUGAAAUUGCUGAAAGGGAAACGCUUGAAGUCAGUCGCGUCGGCCAGAAAUCAACCUUGCUUUUGCUUGGUGUACUUUCUUGUUGAUGGGUCAGCAUCAAUUUCGACCAUCGGAUAAAGUCGUUGGGAAUGUGGCAUCUUCGGAUGUGUUAUAGCCCAGCAUCGCAUUCGGUGGUUGGGAUUGAGGACCUCAGCCCGGCACGAGCCCCGGUCUCUCGAGGUCUCGUCCGUGCUUAGGAUGCUGCCAUAAUGGCUUCAAUCGCCC
rnacentral:rRNA from 1 species